rnacentral:rRNA from 1 species
GACGAACGCUGGCGGCAGGCCUAACACAUGCAAGUCGAACGGACCCUUCGGGGUUAGUGGCGGACGGGUGAGUAACACGUGGGAACGUGCCUUUAGGUUCGGAAUAGCUCCUGGAAACGGGUGGUAAUGUCGAAUGUGCCCUUCGGGGGAAAGAUUUAUCGCCUUUAGAGCGGCCCGCGUCUGAUUAGCUAGUUGGUGAGGUAAUGGCUCACCAAGGCGACGAUCAGUAGCUGGUCUGAGAGGAUGACCAGCCACAUUGGGACUGAGACACGGCCCAAACUCCUACGGGAGGCAGCAGUGGGGAAUCUUGCGCAAUGGGCGAAAGCCUGACGCAGCCAUGCCGCGUGGAUGAUGAAGGUCUUAGGAUUGUAAAAUCCUUUCACCGGUGAAGAUAAUGACUGUAGCCGGAGAAGAAGCCCCGGCUAACUUCGUGCCAGCAGCCGCCGCAGUAA